GACGAACGCUGGCGGCGUGCUUAACACAUGCAAGUCGAACGAAGUGGCGAACGGGUGAGUAACGCGUAAUCAACCUGCCCUUCAGUGGGGGACAACAGCUGGAAACGACUGCUAAUACCGCAUACUGAAGGAGGGGAUUGCGUCUGAUUAGCUAGUUGGAGGGGUAACGGCCCACCAAGGCGAUGAUCAGUAGCCGGUGUGGAAGGAUGAACGGCCAAAUUGGGACUGGGACACGGCCCAGACUCCUGCGGGAGGCAGCAGUGGGUAAUCUUCCGCAAUGGACGGAAGUCUGACUGCGCAACUCCGCGUGAGUGAUGACGGCCUUCGGGUUGUAAAGCUCUGUUAAUCGGGGCGCGGUACCGUAAUAGAAAGCCACGGCUAACUACGUGCCAGCCGCCGCGGUAAUUC
rnacentral:rRNA from 1 species